CUCCAUAAGGAUAGCGGCGGACGGGUGAGUAACGCGUGGGCAAUCUGCCUCCAGGACCGGGACAACAGUGCGAAAGCGCUGCUAAUACCGGAUAGGCACCAGACCUGAUGGGUCAGGUGGAAAGCCGCAAGGCGCCAGGAGAUGAGCCCGCGUCCCAUUAGCCAGUUGGCGGGGUAACGGCCCACCAAAGCGACGAUGGGUAGCCGGCCUGAGAGGGCGAACGGCCACACUGGGACUGAGACACGGCCCAGACUCCUACGGGAGGCAGCAGUGGGGAAUUUUCCACAAUGGGCGAAAGCCUGAUGGAGCAACGCCGCGUGGGCGAGGAAGGUCUUCGGAUUGUAAAGCCCUGUCCCGAGGGAAGAAGAAAGUGACGGUACCUCGGGAGGAAGCCCCGGCUAACUACGUG
rnacentral:rRNA from 1 species